GUUGGUGAGGUAAAGGCUUACCAAGGCGACGAUCUGUAGCGGGUCUGAGAGGAUGAUCCGCCACACUGGAACUGAGACACGGUCCAGACUCCUACGGGAGGCAGCAGUGGGGAAUUUUGGACAAUGGGGGCAACCCUGAUCCAGCCAUGCCGUGUGAGUGAAGAAGGCCUUCGGGUUGUAAAGCUCUUUCGGCCGGGAAGAAAUCGCAUGGGCCAAUACCCUGUGUGGAUGACGGUACCGGAAUAAGAAGCACCGGCUAACUACGUGCCAGCAGCCGCGGUAAUACGUAGGGUGCGAGCGUUAAUCGGAAUUACUGGGCGUAAAGCGUGCGCAGGCGGUUUUGUAAGACAGGCGUGAAAUCCCCGGGCUUAACCUGGGAACUGCGUUUGUGACUGCAAGGCUAGAGUACGGCAGAGGGGGGUGGAAUUCCACGUGUAGCAGUGAAAUGCGUAGAGAUGUGGAGGAACACCAAUGGCGAAGGCAGCCCCCUGGGUCGAUACUGACGCUCAUGCACGAAAGCGUGGGUAGCAAACAGGAUUAGAUACCCUGGUAGUCCACGCCCUAAACUAUGUCAACUAGGUGUUGGGUGGGUAAAACCAUUUAGUACCGUAGCUAACGCGUGAAGUUGACCGCCUGGGGAGUACGGCCGCAAGGUUAAAACUCAAAGGAAUUGACGGGGACCCGCACAAGCGGUGGAUGAUGUGGAUUAAUUCGAUGCAACGCGAAAAACCUUACCUACCCUUGACAUGCCAGGAACUUGCCAGAGAUGGCUUGGUGCCCGAAAGGGAGCCUGGACACAGGUGCUGCAUGGCUGUCGUCAGCUCGUGUCGUGAGAUGUUGGGUUAAGUCCCGCAACGAGCGCAACCCUUGUCGUUAAUUGCCAUCAUUUAGUUGGGCACUUUAACGAGACUGCCGGUGACAAACCGGAGGAAGGUGGGGAUGACGUCAAGUCCUCAUGGCCCUUAUGGGUAGGGCUUCACACGUCAUACAAUGGUCGGUACAAAGGGUUGCCAAGCCGCGAGGCGGAGCCAAUCCCAGAAAGCCGAUCGUAGUCCGGAUUGCAGGCUGCAACUCGCCUGCAUGAAGUCGGAAUCGCUAGUAAUCGUGGAUCAGCAUGUCACGGUGAAUACGUUCCCGGGUCUUGUACACACCGCCCGUCACACCAUGGGAGCGGGUUCCGCCAGAAGUAGGUAGCCUAACCGCAAGGGGGGCGCUUACCACGGCGGGGUUCGUGACUGGGGUGAAGUCGUAACAAGGUAGCCGUAGGGGAACCUGCGGCUG
rnacentral:rRNA from 1 species